GGCUCGUUAGUUUAAAGGCAAAAUACUGCACUGUCUAUGCAGAGUUAGGGGUUCGAUUCCCCUACGGGUCGCCA
rnacentral:tRNA from 1 species